rnacentral:rRNA from 1 species
UACGGAGGGUGCAAGCGUUGUCCGGAAUCACUGGGCGUAAAGGGCGCGUAGGCGGCUCAUGAAGGCUGUGGUGAAAGUCCGGGGCUCAACCUCGGAUCGGCCGUGGCGACUCGUGGGCUGGAGCACUGUAGAGGCUGGUGGAAUUCCGGGUGUAGCGGUGGAAUGCGUAGAGAUCCGGAAGAACACCAGUGGCGAAGGCGGCCCGCUGGGCAGUGGCUGACGCUGAGGCGCGACAGCGUGGGGAGCAAACAGG